AGUGGCUGAGAGUGAAUGUGGAGAUAAGGAGCGGUGCAAGUACUGUUCACUCUGUCCCUCUCUCCUUCCCUGUAGACAGUUAAAAUCUCAGCUGGAAGCAGACAUCAGGCACCGAGCACUCGCAGAAUAUCGGUCUUCACAUAUGUAGAAGAGAAAAAGAAACGAGUCAGAAAAGGAGCAAAGAACGAAAUAUUUGUGUGUUACCUGGGUGAUCCCUGACUUGUAGCCUUAUUAAAAUCCCUGAAUUCCCUCCUUCGCUUCCCUUCAGUCCGAACCCUGUCUUGUAUCUAAUCAUCAUCUCCGCACCCUCCUGCUCUGACCCUCUGCGUUUGCAUCCCCCAAAAACCCUCCUCUGUAUUCCGUCCAGCGUAAUGACCGAACAAUUGAAGAUAUGAAAUAUUGACCGUGCUGGCUCCUACAGGGAUGGAAACAGACUGUUACAGGAACUGAAGGCUGAAAUCCAGGAUGCAUCUACCAACAGACCUGUAAACUCUGUACAUUCAUAAUAUAUUUGAAUGUAGUUUUUCAAGUGAGAAGACUUACCAGCAAAAAAUAAUAUGGUCCAACUAUUGUUUGUAGUCCAGCAUACUGAAGAACACAUCAUCAAACAUCAACAAUCUGAGAUUUCUGAAACAGUAAUUGUGUAGAAAGCAGUUACAUUUGAAGUUUGAAGUUCCUCAACUGUAUUCCUGCAAAGAAAUUAUUCUGGUUCUCUGGAUGUUAUAAAGAAAUACUUUGGAUUUGUUUGACUGUUAAUGGAUUCCUAUUCCUUGAACAUCUCUUGUUCUCAGAUAUGAAAUUUGAAGCAAGAAAUAUGACACUACCAGUUGACAGGGAAAAAAAGCAUGGUUUAUUUGUUUGUUCUCAAUGGAUGCAACAUUUAUUCAGACUAUCUCCAUUUGAAACAGGUGUCCAUUGUGGUGGAAGAUUUUGCAGCUGCCUUUAUGUGACUGUUUGGUUUGCAUUGUUAAAUUCUCUGUCUCAGAAUGCCAGUUCUUUGAGGCAAUGUACUGUGCUCAACAAAAGGCCAGCUCCCCAGGGCUAUGGAGAUAAAAGAACAGAUGGUACACUCCUUCAACUGUUCUCUAAUUGUGGAGUUUGCUGUUACAGAUUAAUGCAAUAUGGGAGAUUUAUGUACACAACACCUGUGUCAGGAAAAUAAACAAAAUAUUGCUUGUUGCGCCAAACAAAGCAAUAUUAUAAAUCCUAUAUAUAUUUUAAUUCAUGAGAUCCAAUGUAAGGUUUACAGUUUAAAUGAAGAAAUUGCUACUGUAAAUAUUAAAUAACUCAAUGUUUUGAUGAUUGCUGUGAAAAGCAUAAAUAGUCAACUUUAUUUGAAAUUAAUAUCCUGAUAAAUCUUUUACAUGUAAAAUUUUAAGGAAAACUGUAGGGUUUGGUAUAAACAUCUGAAAAAAAGCUUCAAAACAACAGAAGAGAAUAGGUAAUCAGUAAUAUUUAAAUUCAAUGAAAAUCUCCAGAUCUUAAAAUCUCCACAUUUUCAGUAUAAAUCAAAUUGCUGCUUGGGUUUUUUUAUUGGCUGCAAAACUGGAGAUUCCAUUUGCACACCUGCAUAAGUGAUGUUUAGCUGACUGCUACAGAAGAAGUACAUGCAGCACUUACUCCUGUUUUUAUGAGAAUGAACCUAUUCUAUAAAAUAUUUAUUUCUGUAAAAA